rnacentral:sRNA from 1 species
AGGGAAGAAAGGACACAGAGGAGGACCAGGUGCCAGAGCCGGAGGGGCAGCUGGAGGAGCUGACACUGGAGGUGGUGGAACAAGCUUCUCCCUACUCCAUGGAUGACAGGGACCCUCGGAAGUUCUUCAUGUCAGGUGAGAGCUGGGGGGUCAGGAUCAGAGGCAUGGGGAGGCCCCAGGAUGCCUUGGCUCAGUGUCCCCAUCCUCAGGCUUCACCGGCUAUGUGCCCCGCGCCCGCUUCCUCUUCGGCUCCAGCUUUCCUGUGCUCACCAACCAGGCACUGCAGGAAUUUGGGCAGAAGCACUCACCAGGCAGUGCCCAGGACCCCAAACAUCUCCCCCCGCUUCCCAGAACAUACCCUCAGAACCUGGGUCUUUUACCUAACUAACUAUGGGGGCUACGUGCCAGGUGAGAAGAGCCCCUGGGGAGGCUUUGGGGACUGGAAUGUUUGUAUGGGUAUGGGGUGGGUUGGGUGGUUUGUGGGGGUUGAAACUAAUAGAUAUGGGAGGGCUCAGAUCAUGUGGUUCAGCUUUAUUAUCAGGCAGAAAAGGAAACCGAGGUAGCUACCCACAGUGGGGAAUUAGGGCCAGAUUUUAGAGGGCUGUUUAGAGGUCUAGCCAACUGGCU